rnacentral:rRNA from 1 species
CCGGCGUGGAUGAUGCAUGCAAGUCGAACGCGAAAACCCUCGGGUGAGUAGCGUGGCGAACGGGCGAGUAACACGUAAUCAAGCUGCCUCUCAGACGGGGAUAACUCCGGGAAACCGAAGCUAAAACCCGAUGGUCCCACUAGAUCGCAUGGUCAUGUGGGUAAAUGGACGGGCUCCUUCGGGAUCGUCUGCUGAGAGAGGUGAUUGCGGCCCAUCAGUUUGUUGGUAGGGUAACGGCCUACCAAGACUACGACGGGUAGCCGGCCUAAGAGGGUGGUCGGUCGCACUGGGACUGAGACACUGCCCAGACUCCUACGGGAGGCUGCAGUCGAGAAUCUUCCGCAAUGGACGAAAGUCUGACGGAGCGACGCCGCGUGGAGGACGAAGGCCCUCGGGUUGUAAACUCCUGUCACGAGUUAAGA